AUAAAAAAUAUUUAUAUAAUCCAUGCGACAUUUAUCUCCAUGAUGAAUGUGACCGAGUUUAUAUAAAACCAUUAUGAACAUUGCGCCAGAGAAGAUGACACACAGCUGUCACCAGCACCAAUCUUUUUGGAAAAAUCUCAGGUUAUGUGCUGGAGACAAGUGAAGAUUUGGUAUGCUGACUUGGAGAAAUAACAGUCAGAUAAGUAUAAAUAAUGUGUUUCUUGGAUCUCUGCGUGCAUAAGAACCUAACUGAGUAAAAACUUUGAUUCUUUAAUGUGUAUUUUUCUUUAUUUUUAGUGGUGAGGUUUGCAGCUGUCAGGUAUACGCACUCAAUGCACUAGCAAAGUGAGAAGCUGUCAACUACCCAGGACUUUGCACAGCUGUCACUAUAUGUAAAGAUGUUGUAAUAUACAGGUACAGCACAUUACACAGAAGGUGCAUACUACAAGGUUGGGUAAGUUUAGUUCUUUUUUUAACUAAGUUAAAUUGAAGUUAAAGACCUUGAAAAUGUAAUUUAGUCAAGAUACAAGUUA